rnacentral:rRNA from 1 species
GGCGGCAGGCCUAAUACAUGCAAGUCGAACGGCAGCACAGUGGAGCUUGCUCCUGGGUGGCGAGUGGCGGACGGGUGAGGAAUACAUGGGAAUCUGCCCAGUCGUGGGGGAUAACGUAGGGAAACUUACGCUAAUACCGCAUGCGCCCUUCGGGGGAAAGCCGGGGACCUUCGGGCCUGGCGCGAUUGGAUGAGCCCAUGUUCGAUUAGCUAGUUGGCGGGGUAAAGGCCCACCAAGGCGACGAUCGAUAGCUGGUCUGAGAGGAUGAUCAGCCACACUGGGACUGAGACACGGCCCAGACUCCUACGGGAGGCAGCAGUAGGGAAUAUUGGACAAUGGGCGCAAGCCUGAUCCAGCCAUGCCGCGUGAGUGAAGAAGGCCCUCGGGUUGUAAAGCUCUUUUGUCCGGGAAGAAAAGCAUCGGGCUAAUACCUCGGUGUUCUGACGGUACCGGAAGAAUAAGCACCGGCUAACUUCGUGCCAGCAGCCGCGGUAAUACGAAGGGUGCAAGCGUUACUCGGAAUUACUGGGCGUAAAGCGUGCGUAGGUGGUUUGUUAAGUCUGAUGUGAAAGCCCUGGGCUCAACCUGGGAAUGGCAUUGGAAACUGGCGGACUCGAGUGCGGUAGAGGGGUGUGGAAUUCCCGGUGUAGCA